UACGUAGGGGGCAAGCGUUGUCCGGAUUUAUUGGGCGUAAAGCGCUCGCAGGUGGUCCGAUGCGUCGUGCGUGAAAGCCCCCGGCUCAACUGGGGAGGGUCGUGCGAUACGGGCGAACUGGAGGCCAGUAGGGGGAUGCGGAAUUCCGGGUGUAGUGGUGGAAUGCGUAGAGAUCCGGAGGAACACCAGCGGCGAAGGCGGCAUCCUGGACUGGUUCUGACACUCAUGAGCGAAAGCGUGGGGAGCGAUCCGG
rnacentral:rRNA from 1 species